UAGGAUGCUCUAACCGGAAAUGAGUAUUAAAAAUCAUUGUUGGAUUCACGAUUAUUGUUGGCGUAUUAUGACGAAAACCGCCGAAGCCAAAUAUGGUGAUGAUUGUAGCAGACGAUCUAGGUUUCGAUGAUAUCAGCUUCCAUGGGUCCGAUCGAAUACCCACACCCAAUAUCGAUGCAUUGGUCGCUUACGGUAUCCACUUGAAUCGAUAUUAUGUCGCACCCAUGUGUUCCCCAUCGAGGUCAUCAUUGAUGACUGGAAAAUAUGCGUUCAAUAUAGGAAUGCAGAGAUUUGUUAUAACUCCUACACAACCGUUUGGCUUAGGGCUGUGGGAGAAAAUAUUGCCUGAAUAUUUGAAGGAGGCAGGAUAUGCUACACAUGUAGUAGGCAAAUGGCAUCUCGGUUUUUACAAGAAGGAAUACACCCCAACGUUUAGAGGUUUCGAUUCGCAUAUCGGAUAUUUCAAGGGAAUGAUCGACUUCUGCAAUCACAGU